UUGUCCGCCACCAGUCAAUCUCUCACAGAGGCCAUGGAGAAGGUGAAAUAGUUAAGAGUUCUUCGAGGUGUUGUCGGAAAGAGGUUGAAAAGAUUGAAUCUGGAGUCUCAUCCGCUAAAGAAGAGUACCGUAGAUGUUCUGAUAUUUUCUUGGAAAUUGUUGAUGACUUGGCCGACGUGGAUAUGAAGAAACACCACCAAGAGAAAACCCUUAAACACUAGGUAAA
rnacentral:lncRNA from 1 species